rnacentral:miRNA from 1 species
GACUCCACUGUGCGUGUGACAGCGGCUAACCUGCUCCUCGGACAU